AGAUUAUACUUAACAUAUACAACCGUAACAACCCUACAGAUCCUUAUUCAUUUUCUUUCUUUUUCCAGAUCUGAGUAAGCUGCGGCCGCCUUCUCAACCCUAAUUCCCUAAAUCUCUCAUACUCUCACUCGCCCUCUCUUCCAAAUCAAGAACACUCCCUCUCUUUUCGAAUCUCCUCCCCUCUCACUCCCCCUUCACUCCGAUUUUAAUCUCCGAUUUGAUUUCGAAACUCGCCCUCUCCCCUGAAUUCGUAUUUGAAUGCAGAGAAUUAAUAUGUGAAUGGAGAUGACUGGUUAAGAGCUGCAGUCCAGCUUUCAAGUUAAAUCGAAGACUGAAGAUUUUCACUUUCUUAUGCAUUCAAGUUGAAUUUCCACUAAUUUGUAUUAAAGUUGUAAUAUUUGAUGAAUUUAAUUUGUGAAUGUUUCGUGUCAUUUCGGGUCGUGUCGGGUAACCCGAAAUCUAUUCGAGUCGUGUUCGGGUUGGGUACCUGUACCCAUUAAAUUUUCGGGUCGGGUUCGGGUUGGGUAAAAAAUACUGCCCGAGAAUGUUGACCCGACACGAACCCGACCCACAACCCGAUAUUGCCAGCCCUAAUCAUAAGAGGAGGCACCACCGAGUUUCCAAGCGCAUCACUCUUCCUCCGUCUCUCUCGUCUCUUUUUCGUCAAAUAACUAGUUGAACUUCCAACAUCACCGGCGGUAACCACCUUUUGUGGUUGGGCCGGUAUUGGUAUGUGAUCAGAAGCAUGUGAGUCGAGCGUAUUUUUCCCUUUCUCCGCCAUCUUCAAAGGUUACAACAAUGGUUUUCUUGUGUGUUUGUUGUUUGUGUUUUUAUUUUGUGGGUGAGAGUAUAUGUUCUUCCCUUGCAUGAUAUUUAUAGGAGUUUGUGAUUAUUUUCACAUGGGGAUUUUGUAAAAUGAAUCAAUUCCUACAUUAAAUGAUAUCUAAAAACUUCUUACUAA